rnacentral:rRNA from 1 species
AGUGAACGCUGGCGGUAGGCCUAACACAUGCAAGUCGAACGGCAGCACAGGACAGCUUGCUCUCUGGGUGGCGAGUGGCGGACGGGUGAGGAAUACAUCGGAAUCUACUCUGUCGUGGGGGAUAACGUAGGGAAACUUACGCUAAUACCGCAUACGACCUACGGGUGAAAGCAGGGGAUCUUCGGACCUUGCGCGAUUGAAUGAGCCGAUGUCGGAUUAGCUAGUUGGCGGGGUAAAGGCCCACCAAGGCGACGAUCCGUAGCUGGUCUGAGAGGAUGAUCAGCCACACGGGAACUGGGACACGGUCCAGACUCCUACGGGAGGCAGCAGUGGAGAAUAUUGGACAAUGGGCGCAAGCCUGAUCCAGCCAUACCGCGUGGGUGAAGAAGGCCUUCGGGUUGUAAAGCCCUUUUGUUGGGAAAGAAAUCCAGCUGGCUAAUACCCGGUUGGGAUGACGGUACCCAAAGAAUAAGCACCGGCUAACUUCGUGCCAACAGCCGCCGCCG